GUAGGGGUGCAAGCGUUAAUCGGAAUUACUGGGCGUAAAGCGUGCGCAGGGCGGUUUUGUAAGUCUGUCGUGAAAGCCCCGGGGCUUAACCUGGGAAUUGCGAUGGAGACUGCAAGGCUUGAAUCUGGCAGAGGGGGGUAGAAUUCCACGUGUAGCAGUGAAAUGCGUAGAGAUGUGGAGGAACACCGAUGGCGAAGGCAGCCCCCUGGGUCAAGAUUGACGCUCAUGCACGAAAGCGUGGGGAGCAAACAGGAUUAGAUACCCUGGUAGUCCACGCCCUAAACGAUGUCUACUAGUUGUCGGGUCUUAAUUGACUUGGUAACGCAGCUAACGCGUGAAGUAGACCGCCUGGGGAGUACGGUCGCAAGAUUA
rnacentral:rRNA from 1 species